ensembl:lncRNA
CACAGAAAUGGCUGCUGCUUGCAGUGACCACACCUUCUGUUGUUAGGAUAAAGGCACCCUGCCCAGGUGUGCUGCAUGUAGGAAAUGGAGCCCUUUAUUGCUCUGCAGGCCUUCCCCGGGAGGGUUCUUGGAGCAAUAGGCCCAGGAAGCAGCCCUUUGCUUGGGUUGCUGUGUUCUGUCUUCUCUUCCACAUCUUUGGGAAUGCAUUGCAGAACUCACAAGCGCUUUGUUGCCUGCUGUACCUCACAGCCAUGGGAAGAUUGGAAACAAUAUUCUUCUGAUGCUCAGUGCGCUCAGCCCGCGUGCGUGUGCGGCUGUUGCAGUGGAGGAGGAGGACAAACUUUGCUACCUGUGAGACGAAGGCUGGUAGCACUGGAAAUGAAAACAGUUCCAUUUACGAUUCUGUUCUCAGGCUCCAUAAAUGCACCCUCUCGGGGUAGGUGAGAUGACCAGACGUAGUUUGGAACUAGCUGUACUCAGCUUGCUUCGGUCUGCUCUGUCCACUUGUGAAAUGAGCACAAGGAGUCUUCGUGUGAAGAUCCACAAUGCAGCAAAUCUUUCCAAAUCAAGUAGGCAGAGAGGAACAAAGAGCGAGGGAGAAGUCUUGACAGUCAAUAUACGAAGGGUUACUUAUAUUUUUACAGAAUUGUAGGUCAAGCACCAGGCUGCUGAAAGUAAUCAUACCAGCUGUAAUCUUCUUUAACGAUAUCCAGUCAGAAAAGAUGAAAAAUUGUUUUGCUUCCUUUGAAGAAUGGGAAUAUCUUUUUCCUCAUCCUCUUUGACCUGUUUUACUGUAACAGAUUCUGGAUCCACUCAGCUAAAUCACCAUAAGCAGAGUUUGAUGGAAACAAAUUGCACCGUAAAGCUUAUCCUAAAAGUCUGUCUUUUGCACCUUCAGCAGCUGGCAUGGCUUUGAAGAAAAACUGCUCAAUUUGCAUCCUAAACCUCCUCAGUCUGCCUUAUCUGUGGCUAAACUGGACUGCUUGGAACCAUAGCCUGCAAGGAACACCUUGAUGGCUUCAUUGGGAAUUCCUUAUGGAGAAGAAGGAGAAAUGAUCAUCUGAGUUCUCCUGAAGAUGGGAGUCAGGACCAGACAGGCCCCAGCAACGUUCCUAAGGCACAGAAUGUCACCUGUCACCUCUUUUCCUCCUACAGUUCCUCACCAAGGUUCAGGUGAAUGUUGGCUGAGGGAGAAGGAAUAAAGCAGUGUUUUACAGCAACCCAGCGGCACAGAAGGGUCUGCCAGUACUGGUGAAGUCCCUUCUCUGAACCAGACAACAGAAGCUGCUUUCCCAGUUCAUGGUUGCUCCUUCCCACUGGCAAACGACCUCGGGGGGGAUCUGCUUAUCUGCUUCCAGGUUGUGCUGCCUGCUGCGAGGUGGAGACGAAGAAGUGCGCAUCCAUCCUUUUUUGCCUUCUUGCUGCAAACUCACCAACAAGGCCAUUCAGGACUGAAUUCAUUCCCAGAUCUCCUUUUGGCAGCUGGAUGAGAAGGGAAUGCCACCACAAAGGAGGGAUCGCUGAGGCGAGGCUGAAGUUGUGUUCAAAGGCAGCAGCAGUGCUGUGCAUUGCAGAUGUCAUAGAAUCACCGCCGUGAUCAGUCAGCCUCUUCCCUGGAGUGACUCUGAGUUCUGCACAUGGGCCUGUCAAGUUUGUAAAUGUCGGCAUGCUCCUUUGGAACAAGAUCUCAUUGGGCCAGCACCAAAAGGCCAUUCUAUGAGUCUAUGAUCAAAAGGGAAGCAGAAGAAAAAAGCUUAUUAAGAAUGGACUGCACUGGGGGAAAUCAAGACCUGAGCAGAUCCUUUCUUAUUUCCAUUCAUUCUCAGGGUGGUUCUUCUCAAACCAAAAGGAGCAGUCAGCCUGUAAAAUGGAGGAAGGAGGGAAACAAAUGAGAGAAGGUGAGAGGAUUGUGGCACGGCUGUCCCUUCAUUCCCCUCCCCGUCCCAUUUUUGUAGUUGCCUACAGAAGAACCCCCCUCCCCACAGGAGGGAGUGGCCUUAUAGCGAUGAAGAAAGCACUCCUCGUCCAGUUGGGCCUAGCAAUAUGGCAGCGCACAUUCGGACCAUGUGCUCUCUGCCCCACUGCCUCGAGUGCACGCACUGCAGGGUGAAAGCUUUUGGAAAGCGGGGGGUUCUCAUUGCACAUGGGCUCCUACCUAAAAGCUCUCCUGGUUUUGCACAGAUGCUGAACCCUUGCUCCUCCUGUUCUUGGUCUGAAUUUUGGGCGCUGGGAGCUCUGGAAAAGCUGAAUGCUUUUGAAGGAAGAAAUGCUGUCAGAUAGCAGAGUUGGAGCUGGGGGAAUUCUCUGGAUCGGUUCGUGAAGCGAAAGGAUCCUUUCUCUUUAAAAAUAGAAUGACAAUAGCACCCCGGCCCAGAAAUGACUCCUCUGAAAGUUAAAACAACUCUGAGGCAGUUGCUGUCUGCUUCCACCGGGCUGCCAGCGUGGAAAUGAGACCACUUCUUGCGGGAUGGGGGGUUGAGGAUAAUGAGUAAUCUGGACGGAGCAGCUUUCUUCCAAGGACCUCAGAACUCUCUGCAGAUGUGCUUCUCUCUGCAAAAUGGCUCUCACUCCAUUUUCUGUGAGAACUCUUCCCGCAAACUGGGUCCCUAAGAGGAUUAGUGAAGGGGAUACCAAUUUAUUUAUACUCACCUCAGCAUGGUAGCAGCCAAACACUGUAAGUUGCUGGAUUAUUAAAUGGCCUGUAACACAUGAAAGAAGCUUCAAUCUUCUGGUGCGGUUCAGAGUGGACAGGUGUUUGCUGCACAGCUGCUCUGAACUGAUCCCCAAUUUUGGCAAGGUUUUUUUUCCUUUUUGACCUGCUCACACUGGUAAGAUGAACAGGUGUGCUCGGAAACAAAUGGACUGUGGAGAUUUGGUCUCUUUUUAAGGGCAAGACCAAUUUUCAGGCCUCUUUCAGUUGUACUUCGCUGGGGGGAAGGAAUAAAAGAACUAAAGAGAGGUAUGGAGAGUUAGGGAAACCCCUCAAACUUUGUUUAAAUUACACAUUCCUGGCACUCCCAGUGCUGGGUGAUGCUGCCAUUUGUGUUUUCUUCUAUAGUGCCUGGCUUGCACGGUCCCAAGCAGAGUUAAAUGCAUGUCUAUGACCACAAGAGGAUGACGCCUCGGUUUCUCUGUGCCAGCCUGGAGGCCCUUAGGUGCUGCAGUUUAAGUCCUUGAAAAACAAGGUUGCUGGACUCUAGUAAAUAGUGUCCGGAUGUUAGCGAUGAUUCAUAAAAGCAAUUAAAAAAGGAAAGUGCCUUGCUGCUGGGCGUAAUGUCUUGAAGAUGUCCUUAAGAGUGUGUAAUGCUGCAGACAGUGGUCAGUGGGUAGUGACCGCUGUGCUUAAGAUUACCAAUCUGUUUCCAGCAUAACUCUUCUUUUCACUUGGUUCUCAUGGUCAAAACUUAUUUUUUUUUCUUUUUUUGGUAGCUGAAUUUUCCUUAUUUAGCCAUCGCUGCAAAAUAGUUCCCAUCCCUUCCUUCUUAAAUCUGUGAAGAACAUCUACUGAGAAUGUAAUAUUUUCCAUGGGAGAAAAGUGCUUUUUUGAAAUUUAAAUACUGUGGAUGGCAAAUAAUUGGAAUUCAUCAAACAUGAUUUAGCUGUGGGGUUGGGUUUUCUUUCAGUGCUACCCUCUUGCCUUACAGCCCUGACCUUCCACAAGGCGCAGAGCAGCCCACUUGUGGUGCCAUUUGCAAUAAGCAAGACAGAACUGUGUUACAACACGAUUGGGAUUCUUGCUGUGUGCAGAGAUGCCCAGAGUGGCCACACGGCCUAAGCAAGAGGUAGGCACGCUCUGCAAACAUCUCCCUGCGUGGCUUUUCCAGUCCUUAACUAACCUGUGAGCUCCCAGCCAUGCUGCUAGCUCUGCCCAUUGCAUUGACUCCUCCAGCUGGACGCCUUUUGGUUCUCUUGGUGUCUGCACGUGGUCCAGAGCUGGGGCUUGGCUCUGCUGUGCCCUUCAUUAGACCAGGCAUAUAUGCUAAGGGAAGCAAAAUAGUUUACUGAUUUAUCAUGGAUCAUUAGAUGGAGUAACUAUUCUUAAAACAUCACCAGUAUAGAUACAAUAAUUAGAGAUGUGCUUUUGUUAACAUUGCCAGCCUCUACCCUCUUGUACAGUACCCUUGGGUACUAAAUAAUUACCCACUUUGUGUGGUUAUCUAGCUCACUAAUUACCCACAAAAAUUGGGGUCAGGUGUUAACUGCUUGAAAUAAGUAUCCUCCAAAGACUUGGUUAAAUUGUGUAAAGAAAUUAUGUGUUUGCAGCAAAACUUAGGAAAAAAAAAAAAAGAAACUUUUUUUUGUUGUUGGAAGGAAAAGGGGAACACAGAAAAGACAAUGGAUGUAAAUGGUCCUCUGUGAUGGCAACAUCUUGCACACAGCUAUGGUGCUGGGGAUGGAAUCUGUAAGGGGAGAGAAAGGAUGGCUGGCGGAUACAGUCUCUCUCAUCCUCUGCUUUUCCCAUAGAUUAGAUCCCUCAGUACAUAGAGUGAUUCUUCCCCUAUCUAGGCUGGUGUCAGUCGGGGUUGUGUCGGUAUAAAUGAGAAAAUUUGUAUGCAUGGAUUCCUGGGCUGCCUUUACUGCAUAAUUCCCCCUCCUCUGUCACUCAGGGACUUCUGCAUUGCACCCAAUAAUUGAAUUAUGCAUUGUAUAUGUAUUUCCAUAUGUUUAUUUUAGUUGUUUCGAACUCUGUGUGCAUGCAGAAUCUCAUUCCAGGGCUGCUGCUCGUAAAAUGUAGCUCGCUUUGAGUAAUAAUUUAAUUCCUGCGUUCAGGGAGUUACCCCAGUGAGUCAAAGAUUUCUAGAUAGCCCCACCCUCCCCAACUUCCCGAACACUUACACUGCAGUCACUUUCUCUUUGCCAGACCCACACAAGACGCCGAGCCAGCCAAAAUCCCAGGAGGCAGCUUGUCCUGCCUGCCCCGUUUUAGCCCCAGGGAAAUAGGAAAUAAAGCCCCGAGAGCCCCGAAACCAAAGCCUGUGAAAUACCUGGCAUAGAACAGAAGGAUAUUGAAUAGCCUGGCCUCCUAACCUGGUGUCUCACACUGGGGCUCGCUGUCUGCGGCACAAAGGAAAUUGAUGUAAGUGGGAACGAAGAUGAUUCUGAAAAUCCCACUGUGCGGCCCCGGGAUCUCUGGCCGCACGGAUGCCCUUAACGCUGCAGUGCUGAGCACCUGCGCAGCGCACAGCCUAACAAAGGAGCUGCCUUAUUUAUUUAUUUCCGUGGCGGCUUUAGGUGCUUUCUCCCCUGCGGUUCCCACACAGGCAGCCUGGAUAGGGUCCGGUUCUGGGUAUGAUCGGUGCCCCCCGCCCCGUGGCUCGGGGUGGGGGGGGGUCUCAGGUGGUGCGUUCUGGCCGGGGCUGUGCCCGUCCUUAGGGGCGUACCUGCGUUCUGCAUCCCUGCAGGCAUCAGCCCUGCAGAGCACAAUGCAGAUUUAGUCGUCAUCUUUGUCUCCCCCCCCCCCCCGCCCCGCUCCGCUCCCCGCUGAUGUUAACUGUCUGUAUUAUUAUUUAUUGUUAUCAAGGGAUUUGGUUUGAUCAAUGAAGUGUAUAUACGUCUGACGGACAUUCGGGGAGGAAAUGCUUGGAGAAUGAGUAACAUGUCUGCAGUGGAGGGUGUGUGUGAGGAGAGAGCAGCAUCGGUCCUAGAAACGUUGACUGAUGAGUUCAUUUUAAAAUCCAAGGGCAUCUAGCUGGUAAAUUAGCACAUAUUGCAAAUAUAGUCUGGUGCGAGAGGCAGCGGCUCUGCCAUCGAGCAGGGGGUGGGUGUGGAGGGGUGGGGGUCGAGGAGAGGAGAUCGUCAGCUCUAAAGUCACGGCGGGCAGGAGCCGGGCGGUCCGCCUGCCUCCACGCAGACGCGGAGCGUGCGAUUUCCACGGGCGGCUGCGGGCUGCAGUGUGGCGGGGAGGGGAACGGGAUGGGGGGGGGGGGGGGGGGGGGAGCGAGCGAGAUAGCAGCGGUGGAUUUUAUUGUUUUAAAAUCCAGCUCCAGCCAGAGGGAUGCUCGGCGGAGAGCUGCGGUCCCACCACUCCCCCUUUCCCUCUCCACCCCCCCCCCCCCACCCCCCCCUUCUCCCCGCAGCCCCGCGGGAAGGUGCCGGCGGGGUCCCGGGGCCGCAGGCAGGGGAUGCCCGGCGGCGGCGGGGCCGGGGCGGCCGCGGCGGUUCCUCCCGGGAGCUUAAGGGAUUAUUGGGGAGGGGGGAGCGGGUCGGGGUGUUGCGCGAGGCUGGCGGCGGCGGCGGGGGGAGCCGGGUCCUUAUUCUGUUAAAGAUUUAAGUAGGCAUGCAAGGAAUCUCUAGGAUAGUUGGCAAAGGGCGAGGGUGGGGAGGGGGGGGGAAGGAUCCAAAAGAGUCUGUAACCAGACACUGAAGCUUUCCAGGAGUGAGAGUGUGUGAGAGAGACGGAGACAGAGCGAGAGGAAGAGAGGGGGCAGUGUGGUCUAGUACAUUUUCAUCUGGUCGUUGAUUUGAGCCUGAUGCUUGCUGUCCCUCAACAGCCUCCCUUGCCUGUAUUUUUUCUUUCCCCCUCUCCUCUCCUCUCCUUUCCCUUCUACUUCAUCGAAGCCUAGGGGAGCCAGUAAAGAUUAAAUGUGCUUUCUAAAAGGCAGCCACUUCAUGCAGCUAUGUCUGCUCUCCCCCCCCCCCCAGCCCCCCCCUCCCCUCCACUCCCCCUUUUUCGAAAUUAAAAAAAAAAAAAACAAACAACAAAACAAAAAAAAAAAAAAAAAAAGAAGGGGGGAGAAGGAAGGAGGAGGAAGAGGAGGACUGUAGUUUAAUGAUGUCGGGACUGGCUGAUCCAGAAGGAGGAAAGAGGAGAAAAAAAAAAAAAAAAAAAGGAAAAAAAAAAAAAGAUUUUGAGAGCCUGGACGAGGAAGGACUUUGGUGAAUGGGCUCAGACUCCCGAGGUGGCAAGCUGGGGACGAAAUCCUGCUCUCGGUUAUGGCCGGCGUAAAUUUCCAUUGGCUGGGGUUGCACAAGGUGCUCGGAGAGGAGUCGGUGCGGGAUGGAGUCCCUUUGUGUGUGCGGAGCGGAGCGCGGCUGUGAGGUGGAGCAGCUGGCGGGGCUGUGGGUUCCUGCUGGCACCGUGCAGCUCUGCUCACCCACUGCCAACUGCACAGCGCUGCUGCCCGGCCCCGUUCCCAGCGCUCGGAAGGAAAGAGCAUCCCGGUUCUUCUUCACUCUUGGGAACACACACAUUGUUUCAAUAAUCCAGGCAAUAAAUGCUAAUUAGUAAUGCUUAAGGACCCUACCAGUCAGAGUCAUUACCAUAAUCUACCUCUUCCUUGUUAAAAACGCUCCUUGCUGCUUUAAAAUUUUGCCAGGCGAUGCUUUCUUUGCUCUUCCUUUGGAAAGCUCUCCCCGUUGUGUUAGCAAUGAGUGCAGCCCCGCUGCAGCACCGAGACAUUCUGUGGAGGCAAAGCAUGCUCUGCGUGUGGCAAAGGGGACCGGAGCUCGAGAGAAGUGCAUGGAGGUUUUCCCACAUGUCAGAUUUUCUUCUGAAGCAGAUAUUUUUGCUUUGCGUCCUUCUCUGCACCCUCCCCUCCCCAGCACCACCAAAACCCACUUACAGGGGGAGAACAAAGGAAAUCACGAACUAUAAAGGCAUCAUUAAGUGUGAGCAGCAACGGCGAGAUAGCGUGUGUGAUAUGACAACAUAUUUCACGGCACAAAAGUAGAGAUAAUUAAAUAAUUCAGCGGUAUUCUUAGCUAAUUAGCACGGAGAUCUUUCAGAAGCCAUCAGGAAAAUGGAUCUCAUCAAAUCUAAUAAUACGCUACAUUUCCCCACGAUGCUGUGUUUUCCAGCCUUGCUGCUCCUCCACCACCCCAUGCAGUAACACAAAAGGUUACAAAUAGUUGCACGUUUAAUUGGGCUGUUUUUCAGGAUCGUCUUUUCUGCACAAAAUGAUUCUCUCUUUAGAGGAGGGGGGGGAUAUAUAUGCGGCUGGAAUCUUCAAUGUUAGCCAAUAAAAAAGAAAAAUAAUAACAACAGUAGCUUCAUAAAAGCUGAAUGUGUUAAAAACGGUCCUUUAUUAUCAGCUAGGAGCCAUUUUGGGCUGGUUGCAAUGGGGCUGACUCACUUUGAGUUGGGCUCGGUGAAUUAACGCUGCUGUCCGAGAUCUUUUUAUAGAGUUAAUUGGGGACGUGGAUUGCCUGCUCUCUGAUUUUCCUGCCAUCGAGCAGCACGUGGCAGAGCUGGGGUGGGGCCUGUGCCCUCUGCUCUGCGUGCUCUGCUCUGAUAUCAAGGCCCGUGGUACCAGCUGGGCAGAACGCAGUGCUCAUUGCUUCGGGUGUCUGGCAGCAUGGCUGUAGUUACGUGCCAUGCCAACGCUCCCUCCCCUGGCUGCACGAGCUGUGCAGCAGCAAGCAGUGGCUGUGUGUGCUCACGAGCCCCAGCUGGCAGCCUGCAGGUGUGCAGGGCAGCACGACGGGUACCUGCAGGGUGCUGGCAGUGCUGCUGAUCCCACGGCACGCUCCCAGGAAUCCGGUGCAUCAGAUGUUAGUCGGAGCAUCUCGUUAUAUGACCUCGAUCUGAGCGUAUAUCCACGUUCACGUGAUGCAUUUAGGAGCUGAUCUGCUGGCUGCGUUGGAUGCGCUCAGGUUAAGCACUGGUUCCGGCCUUUGCUCCGGUCCCAAACUGAGUGAUGGACUCUGGUGUUACAACCAUGCACGGUGCUGCUGGGGUGAGGUGCUCCGCCUCACUGUUACUCCUUUGCACGUGCAAGGAGGCUUUUCCUCCUCUGCAAUGAUGGAGACUGUUUCUUGUAGGGUGGGCGGAAGGAGUAUGAGGAGAAAAGGCAGCAGAAGGAAAUCAGCACACCUGCAGCAGUGCAGUAACUGCUGUCUGCAGGGUUGCAGUGCUUCACAGUGUACUUUCUUCUCCUAGGGGGGGGGUUCAGGUUGUGAGUAAGGUUACUGAAAUGCCAUGGGACCCUCUUAGGUCCCCCAGAUGUAAUUAUGAACAUGUUAUUUCUGUUAGCAAGUCACACAAAUUUUCCCCCAUUGUUUUGAGUUCCUUUUCUCUUGUGCCCUUCACCCAACUCUGUUAACUGUGUUACUAUCUGAGGACGUUACAGCCAAUUAAAAUUACACGUGUAUAUAUAUAUUCAAGAUGAAAGUUGAGUCUCUGAAUCACAAGGCAGGCCAAGCGGAAGGCUCAGACCGCGUGCUGCAGUUGUUGCUGUUGAGCAGCUCUUCCCAUCCAGCAGCCAAUGUCCCUCCGAUCCCCCGGGGCUGUGGUGCCCAGCACAGAACCCUUCAUUCCCAGUGCUCCUGCGUGCUGGGACCUCCAGCAGUGUCCCAACAGAGCGGGCUGAUGGAUGGGACACUGUAUCUCAAGUGUAUGUUCUUUGUAUCCUUAUGCAGUCUGGAUGGCGGGUGGUGGUCAGGAGGAGGGAGGGCGUAUAAGGGUGAGCGUAGGCUUUGCUGUGUAAUGUGUGCUUCUGUCCUUCAAGUAAGGCACAGCAUCCAGCAGCAAACGUCCCAGGAUGGUUUGUGCCACUUGUGGGCUCCGAGGGGUGGAUGGGCUCUGGCAAAACGUGCACGGACUGUCAGAGUGCUGCUGCUCAUCCCAAAUCCAACGUGCUGAGCCCACCUGGGCUGUGCGUGCUGUUGUGUGACUGCGGAAGAUGGGGCACAAAGGGCUCCUUGGGUGCUCUGUAUGGCACAGCAAAGGACGAGCCAAGCCAGCACCCGAGAGGUCCCCAGCAGCUCCUGCAAGGCGCUGAACGACGUCUGCUGCUCCCCAAAGGCUGAAAGCACUCCCGGCCAUCACACGCCGCUCUCUUCGCUGCCGACGCCGCUUUUAAGAUGAAUGAUGUGAGAAAUGCUGCAAAGCAUCAGAGGUCGAGGAGCUGCCUCAGUGCACCGACACCGUUCUGCGUGGAGGCUGCGGCUCAGCUGAGCGCCCCUCCGGGGAGAGAGAGAAGUGGGGAAAAACGACAACCAGAAAAGAUUGGUGGACUUUGGUUUUCGUAUGCACCUGUGUUUGUAUCAUGCCUGAACCUGCAAAGAGUAACACGUGGUUAUUCGCAUGGAAUCCAGUAAAUGGUGAACCUGUAAAUCAGUGACCCGAAGUGUGCUUGUCUCAUUUGAUCCCCUCUCCCUUCCCCCAGGGCUCCCCCUUUGGAGCACCUGGAUGGAGUGCUUGGGGCUGGGGUGGGGAGGGCUGGGGGCAGAGCUCGGGGCACCCCAUGCACAGAGGGUCCGAAUUGGCCUCCAGUUGUUCGGGUGUGUUUUCCAUUCAUGGAUAUUCCGCAGGGCAAAGCGCUUUAAAAGAGAUUUUCCAACUUUUAAGGCCAAACUGCACUAAAAACCGGUGGGGUCUGUAUUUCUCUCUCUGACAUUUCACAGGUAAUUCACGAGGAACAGUGCGGCUUGGGCAUAAUUCUUUUCUCCUACCUCUCCCUUUGAUCUUUCCCACAUGAUCUCCCAUCCCGUGUGCAGCUUUCGGGCUUUAAUGUGGAUUUUGAAAGAUGCUUCAGCAGAACUGGAGAAGGAGGGAAGCCACGGCUUUGCAUUGCUGAUGCUCUGCUUGCUGAUGCUCUGCUUGCUGCCAUUAUGUCAGUGCACGGUUCCUUUUGCAAUACAUGAAGAGUUACAAACAAUAAACAUGUAAGCACAUGGCAUUUGUUGCAUUUGCCAGAAGUAUGCAAUGAAACCUAAAGUCCCCAUAUUCCUUGCACAGCCAAAUGCUCCUUUGUCUCACGGUCAUAGCAUACGAGCUGACACUGCAAAGACAGACAAGUAGAAAUGCUCUAUUUUUUUCUCCUUGCCCUGUUUUAGGAAGAACUGUCCCCAAACCCCACCCACAACAAGCACAACCCUCUGCCCAUAGCGCCUGCAUGGAGAGCCCGAUGGCCGGGAAUCCAUGCAGUGAAUGUGGGGGGCUGCAGCCAGCAGAAUUGAGCUCCAGGGGCAGAACGAAGGCUUAAAGUCAAUGUCCUGUGAGGGAUUCUCUGAGUCCUUGCACAGAACGUGGUGGGACAGCAGGGAGGUGUGAUUGCAC